rnacentral:rRNA from 1 species
GCCUGUGAAGGUGUGCUGUGAGGCAUGCUGGAGGUAUCAGAAGUGCGAAUGCUGACAUAAGUAACGAUAAAGCGGGUGAAAAGCCCGCUCGCCGGAAGACCAAGGGUUCCUGUCCAACGUUAAUCGGGGCAGGGUGAGUCGACCCCUAAGGCGAGGCCGAAAGGCGUAGUCGAUGGGAAACAGGUUAAUAUUCCUGUACUUGGUGUUACUGCGAAGGGGGGACGGAGAAGGCUAUGUUGGCCGGGCGACGGUUGUCCCGGUUUAAGCGUGUAGGCUGGUUUUCCAGGCAAAUCCGGAAAAUCAAGGCUGAGGCGUGAUGACGAGGCACUACGGUGCUGAAGCAACAAAUGCCCUGCUUCCAGGAAAAGCCUCUAAGCAUCAGGUAACAUCAAAUCGUACCCCAAACCGACACAGGUGGUCAGGUAGAGAAUACCAAGGCGCUUGAGAGAACUCGGGUGAAGGAACUAGGCAAAAUGGUGCCGUAACUUCGGGAGAAGGCACGCUGAUAUGUAGGUGAAGUCCCUCGCGGAUGGAGCUGAAAUCAGUCGAAGAUACCAGCUGGCUGCAACUGUUUAUUAAAAACACAGCACUGUGCAAACACGAAAGUGGACGUAUACGGUGUGACGCCUGCCCGGUGCCGGAAGGUUAAUUGAUGGGGUCAGCGCAAGCGAAGCUCUUGAUCGAAGCCCCGGUAAACGGCGGCCGUAACUAUAACGGUCCUAAGGUAGCGAAAUUCCUUGUCGGGUAAGUUCCGACCUGCACGAAUGGCGUAAUGAUGGCCAGGCUGUCUCCACCCGAGACUCAGUGAAAUUGAACUCGCUGUGAAGAUGCAGUGUACCCGCGGCAAGACGGAAAGACCCCGUGAACCUUUACUAUAGCUUGACACUGAACAUUGAGCCUUGAUGUGUAGGAUAGGUGGGAGGCUUUGAAGUGUGGACGCCAGUCUGCAUGGAGCCGACCUUGAAAUACCACCCUUUAAUGUUUGAUGUUCUAACGUGGACCCGUGAUCCGGGUUGCGGACAGUGUCUGGUGGGUAGUUUGACUGGGGCGGUCUCCUCCUAAAGAGUAACGGAGGAGCACGAAGGUUGGCUAAUCCUGGUCGGACAUCAGGAGGUUAGUGCAAUGGCAUAAGCCAGCUUGACUGCGAGCGUGACGGCGCGAGCAGGUGCGAAAGCAGGUCAUAGUGAUCCGGUGGUUCUGAAUGGAAGGGCCAUCGCUCAACGGAUAAAAGGUACUCCGGGGAUAACAGGCUGAUACCGCCCAAGAGUUCAUAUCGACGGCGGUGUUUGGCACCUCGAUGUCGGCUCAUCACAUCCUGGGGCUGAAGUAGGUCCCAAGGGUAUGGCUGUUCGCCAUUUAAAGUGGUACGCGAGCUGGGUUUAGAACGUCGUGAGACAGUUCGGUCCCUAUCUGCCGUGGGCGCUGGAGAACUGAGGGGGGCUGCUCCUAGUACGAGAGGACCGGAGUGGACGCAUCACUGGUGUUCGGGUUGUCAUGCCAAUGGCACUGCCCGGUAGCUAAAUGCGGAAGAGAUAAGUGCUGAAAGCAUCUAAGCACGAAACUUGCCCCGAGAUGAGUUCUCCCUGACCCUUUAAGGGUCCUGAAGGAACGUUGAAGACGACGACGUUGAUAGGCCGGGUGUGUAAGCGCAGCGAUGCGUUGAGCUAACCGGUACUAAUGAACCGUGAGGCUUAACCUU